UACAGAGGGUGCAAGCGUUGUUCGGAAUUAUUGGGCGUAAAGCGCGUGUAGGCGGCUUUGCAAGUCGGGUGUGAAAUCCCUCAGCUUAACUGAGGAAGUGCGCCCGAAACUGCAGAGCUUGAGUACCGGAGAGGGUGGCGGAAUACCCCAAGUAGAGGUGAAAAUUCGUAGAUAUGGGGGUGGAACACCGGUGGCGAAGGCGGCCCACUGGUCCGGUACUGACGCUGAGGUGCGAAAGCGUGGGGAGCAAACAGG
rnacentral:rRNA from 1 species